rnacentral:rRNA from 1 species
UUCGGAAGUUUUCGGAUGGAAGAGGAUUUGACUUAGCGGCGGACGGGUGAGUAACGCGUGGGUAACCUGCCUUACACUGGGGGAUAACAGUUAGAAAUGACUGCUAAUACCGCAUAAGCGCACAGGGCCGCAUGGCACAGUGUGAAAAACUCCGGUGGUACAGGAUGGACCCGCGUCUGAUUAGAUAGUUGGUGAGGUAACGGCCCACCAAGUCAACGAUCAGUAGCCGGCCUGAGAGGGUGAACGGCCACAUUGGGACUGAGACACGGCCCAGACUCC